GACAGAGGCCUCGAGCGUUAGGCGGAAUCACUGGGCUUAAAGCGUGUGUAGGCGGAUCGUUAAGUGCCUUGUGAAAUCCCACGGCUUAACUGUGGAACGGCUGGGCAUACUGGCGGUCUUGAGCCAUCUAGGGGGCGACUGGAACAAACGGUGGAGCGGUGAAAUGCGUAGAUAUCGUUUGGAACGCCAAGUGGUGAAAAACAGGUCGCUGGGGAUGAGCUGACG
rnacentral:rRNA from 1 species